rnacentral:rRNA from 1 species
GACGAACGCUGGCGGCGUGCCUAAUACAUGCAAGUCGAACGCAGUGGGGACGGGUGAGUAACACGUGGAUAACCUCCCCAUCAGAGGGGAUAACACUUUGAAACAGGUGCUACACCGAAACUUAUGGAUGGACCCGCGGUGCAUUAGCUAGUUGGUGAGGUAACGGCUCACCAAGUCCACGAUGCAUAGCCGACCUGAGAGGGAUAUCGGCCAAACGGGGAAUGAGACACGGCCCAGACGCCUACGGGAGGCAGCAGAAGGGAAGCUUCGGCAAUGGACUGAAGUCUGACCUAGCAACGCCGCGUGAGUGAAGAAGGUUUUCGGAUCGUAGAACUCUGUUGUAAGAGAAGCGGUAUCUAACCAGAAAGCCACGGCUAACUACGUGCCAGCAGCCGCGGUAAUAC